UGUCAGGCUGUGUCCCUCUACAGGGAAGCGCUUUCUGUUGUCUGAAAGAAAAGAAAGUGCUUCCUUUUAGAGGGUUACCGUUUAAGA
rnacentral:pre_miRNA from 2 species